rnacentral:rRNA from 1 species
CAGCAGCCGCGGGAAUACAGAGGGUGCGAGCGUUAAUCGGAUUUACUGGGCGUAAAGCGUGCGUAGGCGGCUUUUUAAGUCGGAUGUGAAAUCCCUGAGCUUAACUUAGGAAUUGCAUUCGAUACUGGGAAGCUAGAGUAUGGGAGAGGAUGGUAGAAUUCCAGGUGUAGCGGUGAAAUGCGUAGAGAUCUGGAGGAAUACCGAUGGCGAAGGCAGCCAUCUGGCCUAAUACUGACGCUCAGGUGCGAAAGCGUGGGGAGCAAACAGGAUUAGAUACCCCGGUAGUCCCUGUCUCUUAUAC